CCUACGGGGGGCAGCAGUCGAGAAUUAUUCACAAUGGGGGAAACCCUGAUGGUGCGACGCCGCGUGGGGGAAUGAAGGUCUUCGGAUUGUAAACCCCUGUCAUGUGGGAGCAAAUUAAAAAGAUAGUACCACAAGAGGAAGAGACGGCUAACUCUGUGCCAGCAGCCGCGGUAAUACAGAGGUCUCAAGCGUUGUUCGGAAUCACUGGGCGUAAAGCGUGCGUAGGCUGUUUCGUAAGUCGUGUGUGAAAGGCGCGGGCUCAACCCGCGGACGGCACAUGAUACUGCGAGACUAGAGUAAGGGAGGGGGAACCGGAAUUCUCGGUGUAGCAGUGAAAUGCGUAGAUAUCGAGAGGAACACUCGUGGCGAAGGCGGGUUCCUGGACAUUAACUGACGCUGAGGCACGAAGGCCAGGGGAGCGAAAGGGAUUAGAUACCCUUGUAGUC
rnacentral:rRNA from 1 species